GCGAGAGUGGCGGAACCGGCAGACGCACUGGAUUUAGGAUCCAGCGGGAGACCGUGGGGGUUCAAGUCCCCCCUCUCGCA
rnacentral:tRNA from 1 species